rnacentral:rRNA from 1 species
UGGGGAAUAUUGCACAAUGGAGGGAACUCUGAUGCAGCGACGCCGCGUGAGUGAUGAAGGAAUUCGUUUCGUAAAACUCUGUUCUAUGGGAAGAAAAGGACUGCACCAUAGGAGAAAGCUCCGGCUAAUUACGUGCCAGCAGCCGCGGUAAUACGUAUGGAGCGAGCGUUGUCCGGAAUUAUUGGGCGUAAAGGGUGCGCAGGCGGCUUUACAAGUUGGAUGUGAAAUAUUGUGGCUCAACCACAAACGUGCAUCCAAAACUGCAAAGCUUGAGUUAAGGAGAGGGAAGUGGAAUUCCUGGUGUAGCGGUGGAAUGCGUAGAUAUCAGGAGGAAUACCGGUGGCGAAGGCGACUUACUGGACUUAAACUGACGCUCAGGCACGAAAGCGUGGGGAGCAAACAGG